UCGAACCCACUACCUUGGCGUUACAAACGCCGUGCUCUACCAGCUGAUCUACAGAGGACCACUUUAAGGAUCUCUUUAAAUUUGGUGUUGAAGUUUUGUAGGCUGACUACCAGUUUAAUUCCUUAAAGGAUAGCGUACAAUCAGGCCUACUGUACCAAUCAGAUUAAUUUAAAUAUAAACUAAUUCAGUCCUUUCACUGUACUGUCUGGGUUAGAAAACUCAUUUGGGUGACCAGACAUACCGUCUUUGGUAAGAUUGUUUGCUGGUUGGUAGCCUCUGCCGAGUCCCCUUCAACCGAGGGGUCCAGCUGCGACAUUAUCUCUCAGAGCAGUUAUCCCUCAGGGUCUCUAUGCUGCCACCUAUUGAUAUGUAAUCUCUCAGGAAAAGUGGGGUUUCGAAAGGAGUGGACGUUUUGAAAGGAACCAUAGAGGGCUUGCAGUUGCGUCACAAAUCACCUUGCAACCACACCAAGCGUAAUGUUGGAAGACCAAACUCAGUCUGUUGAAGGCCCUCCAAUCGUCCACAUGACUGGCUGCGUUUUGCUACCACCAUAAACUUCGGGAAGAUUGCCCAUUAUUUCGUUUUACUAAGGACCCAGAAAACGGAUGCAGUGGUAGAACCUAUUCAAAUACAGAGAGCCGUCAAACCCUUGUCUGCAGAUGAAGUGGACCCAAUGAAUGUCCCAAGAGGAUAAGGGUACAUGCUUGUAUACCAUAGAUUAUAUGUUAGCACAUUUUGUGAACAAAAACAGUUUAAAAGUCACACAAUGUAUAAACCUAUUAUAACUGGAGCAGGCCAACCCUGCUGGGUGUGCAGGCUUCUGUUCCAGCCCAGCACGAACGCACCUGAUUCAAUGCAUUAAACCUAAUUAGUUAAUAAUCAAGUGUGCUAUUGCUGGGCUGGAGCAGAAGUCUGCACACCCAGUAGAUCAGCGAUCAGUGGAGCGAGGUUGGUCACCUCUGGUAUUUUUUUAUUUUGAACCUGAAAUUGUUUUAGUAAUAAUAGCCUACUUGUUACUAAAAUGUCUAACCUUUUACAUAUGAGUUAGCUUACUUAUACACUUUGAAAUGAUAUGAAAGUGUUGAUUCUUUGAAGUGAAGUGUUUAAACUUGUUUUAAUUGUUAACUUAACUAUUAUUCAGGAUUAACUAGUGUCAAUGUUGAGUAAUCACAGAUCACAAUCCUGCAAUAAACAGGGGAAGGGAAUCUGUCUCUAAUUUAA